AAACAGCUCCACUACCACAUUCCACAGCAUCACUGAAGACACGUUGCUGUAGGUGUUGUUGCUGUAGAUGAUGUUGCUAUAGGUACAGUUACUAUAGGUGUUGUUACUGUAGGUGCUGUUGUAUAAGUGUAGUUGCUGUAGGUGUUGUUGCUGUAGGUGAUGUUGCUAUAGGUGUUGUUGCUGUAUAGGUGAUGUUGCUAUAGGUGUUGUUGCUGUAGGUGAUGUUGUGUAGGUGAUGUUGCUAUAGGUGCUGUUGUGUAGGUGA
rnacentral:lncRNA from 13 species